AUGAAGCGAAAGAGGUGGAUGAUGCCAAAGAGACCUGUGCCAUCGUAUCAUCCACUCCGAUGGCAACCUUAUUUUUAACCCAAAUUUUAGUACUUCAAAAAAACAUUCUAAAACCUUUGCAUCUCUCUUUCGUAAUAUCCACUCCCCAAAACCCUCCCCGCCACAGAAAUAACUCCACCAUCGCCGACGAUUUUCAACCAGAUUUGUUUUCCAAUCACGACCACGUGGUGAGAAAAAACGGCAGGGAGCAUAGUGAGUGUGAGAGAGAUUCUGUCUAGUUUGGAUAUUAUUUUCAACUCAAUAACCCUAUUUUUAAUUAUUACUUUCAUUUCUCUUUCUUCUUUUCAAUCAUUAUUCUUAUUUCACUCUUUAUCUCUCUUUACUAAUUACUUUUAUCUCUAAUUAUUAUCUUAAUUUAUCUCUCCACUCAUUAUCCAAAAAUCAAACUUAAAAUUUUUCAAAACAUCAUCCAAAACAAGGCAUUUAAUUGUGUGAGUUUGAGGGAGAAUACAAGUGAGCUUGAGAGCUGGAGUUGGGGUAUUUUUUAUUUUUUUUAUCUCAUUCAAUAUUGGUGAAUUGUUAUAUAUCUCCUCUGUGGAGUAGGCAUUGAGAUCGAACCACGUAAUAUAUAUUGUGUGUUUUCUUGUGUUCGUGUUUAUUUUGUGUUGCGCUUCUGUUGCGGGCAACUCUUUAAAAUCGCGGCCUUCUUCAAAUCUCUUCGAACUAGAGUUUCACCGACCAUCAUCUAAACUCUACGACCACCAACAACGCUCUCAUCACCACCAGUAUCCAACCCUUCAGACUCUUUACCCGAUUGAAUUUAUCCGGAAAGGAAACAAGGGAGUCCAAGUGUUCCAAUGGGUAAGAUUAGUGGUGAAGAAGGAUGGAUAUCUUUAGGGCCAUGGGGAGGGAAAGGUGGUAGUAAGGAUUGGGCUUACAAGGUUGACGGGCCUAUACUACAGAUAAUUAUUGGUUAUAGAGAUUUUAUUGAUUCAAUUUCAUUCUGAAGUAAAAGGCGCGAUGUAGGAAGCUUUGGGAAAAUUGGCUGGACAUAGUAUGGCGGUGGCAGUGCGAAUGAAAUGGUAAGACACUCUUUAGCUGCUACAAGAAAACAUGUAUGAGGUAAAAGAGUCAUUGGCGAUCGACGAAAAAGUCGCCAGUUUUCGUCACACCGAAUGUUUGAUGGGGAAGACCCUAGCGACGAAAAAAACGAAUUUUUUCGUCGCCUAUUUGGCUAAUUGGCAAUGAAAAAAAUUUCGUUGCUAAACUUCAAAAGUUAAAAACACAAAAAAUCCCCUUAGCAACCAUUGCCACUGGUUUCGAACCCAGUAACAGCCAACCACCAUGCCACGUCAUGCCAUAGUUCUUGUAAAAAUACGGAAAUGGUUAGCAUAUAUACCUUUUGUGAUUCUGUUUUUCAAAACAAAGUACAUUGCCUUUUUGUUUUAUUUUAUUUUUUAUAAGAGUCUUCUUAUCUUUCUGUUUCCCAAAAAAAUAAAAAAAGUACUUUACGAUUUUUAAUUUGCUUCUGUUUCGUUCUUUUUUCGAUUCGUUUGAUUAAUAAAGUAGAUGCCAUUAAAAUUAUUUUUUGUUCUUUUUGUAGAUGAUACUAGCUUGGUAUUUUGGCAUAAUAAUUGAAAUCCAUCUAUAUUUGGACUUGGGUUGAAAAAUGAGAACAAAUUGACCCGUUAAAAAUUGAUUACUAUGUCUGUUUUUUUCUUUUUUUUUUCUUUUUGUUUCGUUGGUAUAGGUCUAUGGGGAUAUCAUUAUAGAAAUUAUGUGUGGUUUUUAGCUAGGCUCUGCAAACGUGAAGUUUUUUUUUGUUUUUUGAACAGCAAAAAAAAUUAUUAAUCUUUGAAAACAGAUUACAAAGAUUAAAAGUAUUCAAAGCACGAGGCAUCAAACAAAGUAAGAAGAUCUCUGACAAUCAUAUGCCGCUAGGAACCAUGUGAAGUUAAAGUUAACUCUCAGUGGUCCAUGAAAUUGGCGAUAAAAAAUUGGCAAAAAGAGAAACAA